CUCUUCCUCAGAAGAGAGGCAGAAGCACUCACUGGCUUUCGCGGUGCUGGCCUGGGUUUUAAUACCAAUCUAGCCUCUCAGUGAUUGAGCCAAGGUUACUUUGGUCAUGGUGUUUCAUUGAAGCAAUAGUAAAUCUAAGACAACAUCUCAUGGUCCUGUCAUCUCCAGCAUCUAGGAGGUCUUCAUUGUAACUCAGGCUUUACCUGUAGUGUUUCAUAAAAUGGCCUCUCAGGACUUUCUGGAGACUGGCCAUCCUGGCAGACACUUUUAGAGAAGGAAACUCAAAGAAAGCCCUGCAGUGGGAGUCUGUACUGGCAACACCAGCUUUGCCUACUAUAGGAAACACCCUGGGGAACAUACCGGUGAGAAGUGCAAACAAAAU
rnacentral:lncRNA from 1 species